CCCAUAAAUUGUUUGCUUACUGAAACAAGUAGUGGUCUAUUGUUUUGUGUUGAAGAGCUCAAGUUGGUGUCUCUACUGGAAUCCUACAGAUCACUGAUGGCUCAUGUUCUUAAAGGAAUGAAAAUCAAGCUACCAACACCAAAUACCCCAUCCCUCUCCAAGACACAUGCUUUGUUCAUGUAGACAGCCCUACACAAUACUCAGAUUAUGCAGGGGCAGGAGGUUGCAAUUUAUUGCAUUCUUUAAAACUCUGUAUUGAUUUAGAUGGUAAACAUUACUGAUGGCGCUCUACUUCUCCAAAGUGUAUGUCCUCCUUCGGGAGAUCAUCAGCAUCUCCUUCUCAUUCCAUGGCCACUACAUGAAAGGUAACACGUGCACUAACUGAGCUUUUAAAAAGAGUUCUUUGUGUUCGAGAUCCGUUCGCUGCCUGCGUAUGAGGGCCUCGCAUAUCUACAGACCACUGCUCGUAAACCUUGGCUCCCAAAGGAAAGAGGCUUGAAGACCAGCUCCAUUUAUAAAAAAUAAAAAAAUAAAAAUAAGUAAAUAAAUUUUUAAAAAGGCA